rnacentral:lncRNA from 1 species
CCUACAUUGAGCAUUACUUGAUUAAUUAAGUAUUGUUGCAUGUUUGGCCCAGAAUCCUUGUCACAUUACUCAAGGCAGUGACUUCUAACCAGUGGGUAUUAACACAAGAGAUGGAUCUGUAUGUUCUCUCUCCUUUAGGACCAGAUAUAGAGUGGCUCAUCUAAACUUGUCUUUAUUUCCUUUUAGUUUCUUCAUCUUUUGGCAAGUAAGGUUUGGAAAAAGUUGCCUGUGAUGACCCUGAAUUCUUACCUUUUUGAGGAUGAGAAAGAAGAAAGUUCCAAACCUAUUGGUCGUUACCCUGUUCCCUAUAAGAAGGACCUGCCCUUUGACAUUGUAGAGCUCAUGGAGGAGAUGGAAAAAAAGGCAGGAUUUUUACCAAAUAUAUUUAAAGUGUUGUCUUACCGGCCGUUGGAAUUCAGAGCUUUCUUUGCUUAUUACAAUGCCAUCUAUAAUAAAGAAACAGGUAA